GACGAACGCUGGCGGCGUGCUUAACACAUGCAAGUCGAACGGUGAAGCGCUUUCCUUUUUGGUUGGUGUGGAUGAGUGGCGAACGGGUGAGUAACACGUGAGUAACCUGCCCCCUUCUUCUGGAUAACCGCAUGAAAGUGUGGCUAAUACGGGAUAUUCUGCGCCUGCUGCAUGGUGGGUGUGGGAAAGAUUGUGCCUUUGGGUGUUUUCGGUGGGGGAUGGGCUCGCGGCCUAUCAGCUUGUUGGUGGGGUGAUGGCCUACCAAGGCGGUGACGGGUAGCCGGCCUGAGAGGGUGGACGGUCACACUGGGACUGAGACACGGCCCAGACUACUACGGGAGGCAGCAGUGGGGAAUAUUGCACAAUGGGCGCAAGCCUGAUGCAGCGACGCCGCGUGAGGGAUGGAGGCCUUCGGGUUGUGAACCUCUUUCGCCAGUGAAGCAGGCCUGCUCCUUGUGGGUGGGUUGACGGUAGCUGGAGAAGAAGCGCCGGCUAACUACGUG
rnacentral:rRNA from 1 species